CUACGGGUUGCUGCAGUGAGGAAUAUUGCACAAUGGAGGAAACUCUGAUGCAGCAACGCCGCGUGGAGGAUGACGCAUUUCGGUGUGUAAACUCCUUUUAUAUGUCAAGAAAAUGACGGUAGCAUAUGAAUAGGCACCGGCUAACUCCGUGCCAGCAGCCGCGGUAAUACGGAGGGUGCAAGCGUGUACUCGGAAUCACUGGGCGUAAAGGACGCGUAGGCGGGAUAUCAAGUCAGGUGUGAAAUCCUACAGCUUAACUGUAGAACUGCACUUGAAACUGGUAACCUAGAGUAUGGGAGGGGGAGAUGGAAUUAGUGGUGUAGGGGUAAAAUCCGUAGAUAUCACUAGGAAUACCUAAAGCGAAGGCGAUCUCCUGGAACAUAACUGACGCUAAGGCGUGAAAGCGUGGGGAGCAAACAGGAUUAGAUACCCCAGUAGUC
rnacentral:rRNA from 1 species